UAUUGGGGGAUAGCCCAGAGAAAUUUGGAUUAAUACCCCAUGGUAUGCUAGAGUGGCAUCACUUUAGUAUUAAAGAUUUAUCGAUAUAAGAUGGCUAUGCGUUCUAUUAGCUAGUUGGUAAGGUAACGGCUCACCAAGGCGACGAUAGAUAGGGGUCCUGAGAGGGAGAUCCCCCACACUGGUACUGAGACACGGACCAGACUCCUACGGGAGGCAGCAGUGAGGAAUAUUGGACAAUGGAGGCAACUCUGAUCCAGCCAUGCCGCGUGCAGGAAGACUGCCCUAUGGGUUGUAAACUGCUUUUAUAGAGGAAGAAACCGCUCUACGUGUAGAGCUCUGACGGUACUCUACGAAUAAGGAUCGGCUAACUCCGUGCCAGCAGCCGCGGUAAUACGGAGGAUCCAAGCGUUAUCCGGAAUCAUUGGGUUUAAAGGGUCCGUAGGCGGGCUUAUAAGUCAGUGGUGAAAGUUUGCGGCUCAACCGUAAAAUUGCCAUUGAUACUGUAGGUCUUGAAUCAUUGUGAAGUGGUUAGAAUGUGUAGUGUAGCGGUGAAAUGCAUAGAUAUUACACAGAAUACCGAUUGCGAAGGCAGAUCACUAACAAUUGAUUGACGCUCAGGGACGAAAGCGUGGGUAGCGAACAGGAUUAGAUACCCUGGUAGUCCACGCCGUAAACGAUGGUUACUAGCUGUUUGGACUUCGGUCUGAGUGGCUAAGCGAAAGUGAUAAGUAACCCACCUGGGGAGUACGUUCGCAAGAAUGAAACUCAAAGGAAUUGACGGGGGCCCGCACAAGCGGUGGAGCAUGUGGUUUAAUUCGAUGAUACGCGAGGAACCUUACCAGGGCUUAAAUGUAGUCUGACAG
rnacentral:rRNA from 1 species